rnacentral:tRNA from 1 species
GCAUAGCUCAGUUGGAUAGAGCAACAGCCUUCUAAGCUGUCGGCCGCAAGUUCGAAUCUUGCUG